CCUACGGGAGGCAGCAGUGAGGAAUAUUGGUCAAUGGACGAGAGGCUGAACCAGCCAAGUAGCGUGAAGGAUGACUGCCCUAUGGGUUGUAAACUUCUUUUAUAUGGGAAUAAAAUGUUCCACGUGUGGGAUUUUGUAUGUACCAUAUGAAUAAGGAUCGGCUAACUCCGUGCCAGCAGCCGCGGUAAUACGGAGGAUCCGAGCGUUAUCCGGAUUUAUUGGGUUUAAAGGGAGCGUAGGCGGAUUGUUAAGUCAGUGGUUAAAGUUUGCGGCUCAACCGUCAAAGCGCCGUUGAAACUGGCAGUCUUGAGUACACUAGAGGUAGGCGGAAUGCGUGGUGUAGCGGUGAAAUGCUUAGAUAUCACGCAGAACUCCGAUUGCGAAGGCAGCUCACUGGCCUGCAACUGACACUGAGGCUCGAAAGUGUGGGUAUCAAACAGGAUUAGAUACCCUUGUAGUC
rnacentral:rRNA from 1 species